AGAGUUUGAUCAUGGCUCAGGAUGAACGCUAGCGGCAGGCCUAACACAUGCAAGUCGAGGGGUAGAGUGCUUCGGCACUUGAGACCGGCGUACGGGUGCGUAACGCGUGUACAAUCUACCUUUUGCUAAGGGAUAGCCCGAAGAAAUUUGGAUUAAUACCUUAUAGUAUUAUUUGGUGGCAUCAUUGAAUAAUUAAAGCUACGGUGGCAAAAGAUGAGUACGCGUCCCAUUAGCUAGUUGGAGUGGUAACGGCACACCAAGGCUACGAUGGGUAGGGGUUCUGAGAGGGAUGUCCCCCACACUGGUACUGAGACACGGACCAGACUCCUACGGGAGGCAGCAGUGAGGAAUAUUGGACAAUGGUCGGAAGACUGAUCCAGCCAUGCCGCGUGCAGGAUGACGGCCUUAUGGGUUGUAAACUGCUUUUGUAUGGGAAGAAUAAGGUCUACGUGUAGAUUGAUGACGGUACCAUACGAAUAAGCAUCGGCUAACUCCGUGCCAGCAGCCGCGGUAAUACGGAGGAUGCGAGCGUUAUCCGGAAUCAUUGGGUUUAAAGGGUCCGUAGGCGGGCUUAUAAGUCAGAGGUGAAAGCACUGAGCUCAACUGAGUAACUGCCUUUGAAACUGUAGGUCUUGAAUAUUUGUGAAGUAGCUGGAAUGUGUAGUGUAGCGGUGAAAUGCAUAGAUAUUACACAGAACACCGAUUGCGAAGGCAUGUUACUAACAAAUUAUUGACGCUGAUGGACGAAAGCGUGGGGAGCGAACAGGAUUAGAUACCCUGGUAGUCCACGCUGUAAACGAUGGAUACUAGC
rnacentral:rRNA from 1 species